CGGGGCAGGUGGAGGAUGUUCGCAGCAGUCUCACCUCGGAAGACGGCCAGGGUGCCAUUGGGCAGGGCCACCAUGCCGUCCGCUGGCUUGCCGCUGCACAGGUCCUUCUCGUCGUUCUUCUCUGCAAAACACAGCCAGAAUGUGGUUUCCUCACUCAGUACUGAAGAAGCUGAGGGCCUGGUGUGACCCCUCCUGAAGGUGUGGGGAGCAGAGGUUUGCUCUGAGGCAGCCUGAGGACCACCAGCAUCGUGUAUUCAGAAAAGCCUUUAAACUCAGUGUAGCUGCAGACAUUAUGGAACAUCUUGAAGAGCAGGAGGAGGAAAAGCAGAUUUGCUGGCUGGUUACAUCUGUGGAUGUAAUGGAGUUCUCUGGAGUUUUGGCCUGUAUGGACUAUUUCUACUGAAUCAUAACUGCAAGAAAACAAGAGGUUUAACUAAAGGAAGAAAAAAAGUCAAGUAGCAUUUCAACAUGAAGAAUAGCUCAGGAUAAGAAGAAUGAAGAAAAUUAACAUGCAAAAGGAGCUGCACUUAAGCCAUUCAGACUCUCCAGCAUUAAUGGAAGUUGGCGAGGAAGGUGCUUUAGCUUUCCAGACUUCAUUGUGGUGCUGAGUGACAGCAAUGAGAUUCAUCUGGUUUUGGGCUGAAUCAAAGCUCUCCACUGGAUCAGAGGCUGAAGUCCACAAGGUCACUGGAAAUGUGCCAGGUGCCUCCUCUGCACCCCGGCCAGGGGAUCCUACAGCAGUGCUGUGUGUGCUGCUCCCUCUCGUGUGUGACAGCAGGCCAGGCACUGGGAUUCCAGCCUCGUAAAAUAAUCCAUGGAUUUCAGCUGUUGCACUGGGCCAAGUUUUCAUUGGCAGCAACCUUGGAUUUGAGCUGCCAGAACUGGAAACGCCUGUGAAGGCAAAGGGCUCCAGCACUCCCCCUGGACCCCGGGAGCAGUGUCCUGCCUGUAAGUGCCCCGCCGCUGCGGGCGGUGACGGCUGCGUGACUCAGCAUCCGCCUUGGUUUCGCACCCACUGUCUGGAUCUGACUUGGAAGUGGACAUUUCCCACUCAGGCACAGCUGCUCUGGUCUUUGCUGAGCAUCUAUCUCACCUGAUGACAUGUUUUGCCUUUAGCCAACAGUGCUGUGUUUCCAGCACAGGCUCAUUACUGUACCCAUGCAGUAGCUUUUCACUUCAGCCAGUCUGUGAAGGAAAACAAAGCCCCAGUGCAUUUCCUCUCUCCAGAGGCUGGCAAGCUGGAUCCCUACAGAAGGCAUGGGCUGAGUGCUCUGGGCACUGCUGCAGCAAGCAGAUGGCUGGAUCCAAGGUAUGCCCACCAGGAGGGCUACUUCACUUGGUGCACUGGAAAGGGAAGAAAAAACAAGGGGAUAACAAGUGGGGAUGUCUAACAUUGGUUAAUAAUAUACAAAAAUAGAGACAAAAUUCUACUGGGAGACAAUUUGUUCCAGUGGCUGAAAAUCUACUGGUGAUAAUCUCUUACUACCCCAGAGUGCCAAGAAGAGGGAAAAGAGCUGCAGCUGCUCCCUGGUUUGCUGGGCAUGGUACAUUCUGCAUUGUCCCCUGGCCCUUCGGAACAUACUGUGGAAAGUGACCAUUCCAGUGUAAUAAAUAAAGCAAGUGGGAACAGGUCCUCAAAGCCACGGAUCUUCCUCUUGAAUUGGAACAACAGGACUGGAGAGGCAGCCUCCGGGAAGCAGGGGAGGAGAAAAGCACAUAGCACCCUUUGAAGUGCGGUGGUUCCCGUACAGGCAGGCUGCAGCAGCCUGGCCCCGGGGAAGGAGGUGGAACUCAGUAGGGGAAGGCGGACACGGCGAUGUAGAUGAUGAAGGUGGUGCGGUACUCGACGCUGCCCUCGGCGCUGUAGGACAGGGCCCGCACGCCCAUGCGGAUCAUUCCAGAAAGAUGUUGGCUGCACUGAUAUCAUUGAUGGCCAUAGGGUUUUGCCGUUGGGCAUGAGGCGGUAUCCCGCGGGACAGGCACACUGGAAGCUGCCCAGGCUGUUCCUGCACUCGUGCUGACACGUGUCUCUGCUCUCACACUCAUCGAUGUCUGUGGAGAGAAGCACCAACACCUCAGCACUCCCUGAGCCUGCCAUGAACACAGCUAGGAUGAAGAUCAAAAUUGGAAACAAACCCUUCUCUCAGAGUUGUAUUCCUGGGUCUCUCAAUUUAACUCCUAUACCAUAACAAUCCACAUGGAUGUGACUACUGAAACCUCUCUGGAGCUUAAAUACAAGUUUACUGCUGCCAGUGGGAGUCUGACAGAAGCACUGUAACCAGGCUGGGGCUGCUGGUGGCUUUUGUUGUGUGAGAAGAUUCACCAACGUGAGCUACCAUGACCAGGAGAAAGAAUAACAGAGGGAAAUACUUUGCAUACAGGUAAUAAACAGCACAAUUAAUACAAGAGGUUAUAAGGAGGUGUGAGAACAUUUUUGCUACAAUGUGAGCCAAGACAGCAGAGACCAGAACAUGCAGAACCCUCUGAAUAUUGAUGAGGGUAAUUGAAAACACAACCCCAGCACCACAAACCCUCAGCCCCUGGUAUAUAUCACAGAGUAACCUAAGAAUAAGGCCCAAAAUAGAGUUGCAUAGAUAG